CCUACGGGAGGCAGCAGUGGGGAAUUUUGGACAAUGGGCGAAAGCCUGAUCCAGCCAUGCCGCGUGCGGGAAGAAGGCCUUCGGGUUGUAAACCGCUUUUGUCAGGGAAGAAAUCCUUUGAGUUAAUACCUCGGAGGGAUGACGGUACCUGAAGAAUAAGCACCGGCUAACUACGUGCCAGCAGCCGCGGUAAUACGUAGGGUGCGAGCGUUAAUCGGAAUUACUGGGCGUAAAGCGUGCGCAGGCGGUCUUGCAAGACAGGUGUGAAAUCCCCGGGCUCAACCUGGGAACUGCACUUGUGACUGCAAGGCUGGAGUACGGCAGAGGGGGAUGGAAUUCCGCGUGUAGCAGUGAAAUGCGUAGAUAUGCGGAGGAACACCGAUGGCGAAGGCAAUCCCCUGGGCCUGUACUGACGCUCAUGCACGAAAGCGUGGGGAGCAAACAGGAUUAGAUACCCUGGUAGUCCACGCCCUAAACGAUGUCAACUGGUUGUUGGACGGCUUGCUGUUCAGUAACGAAGCUAACGCGUGAAGUUGACCGCCUGGGGAGUACGGCCGCAAGGUUGAAACUCAAAUGAAUUGACCGGNUGAGAGNGCGAGACGACACGAGGGAGGAGG
rnacentral:rRNA from 1 species